UACGAAGGGGGCGAGCGUUGUUCGGAAUUACUGGGCGUAAAGCGCACGUAGGCGGCUUUGUAAGUUAGAGGCGAAAGCCCGGGGCUCAACUCCGGAAUUGCCUUUAAGACUGCAUCGCUAGAACGUCGGAGAGGUGAGUGGAAUUCCGAGUGUAGAGGUGAAAUUCGUAGAUAUUCGGAAGAACACCAGUGGCGAAGGCGACUCACUGGACGACCGUUGACGCUGAGGUGCGAAAGCGUGGGGAGCAAACAGG
rnacentral:rRNA from 1 species